CUCCGGCUGACGAGUCCCAAAUAGGAAGAAAUGCGGGUCCUGGAU
rnacentral:hammerhead_ribozyme from 1 species